rnacentral:lncRNA from 10 species
CGGGGGAUGGGGACACACACACACUUGCUUGCAGGAUUGAGUCAAGUGUCGGAGGGAGGGGGGCCCGGCAGCAGCGCCAGCCUGUCCGGGCUGCGGUGCCAGCGUGCGAACUUUUCUUUGUUGCUUGGGAAAAUGUUUGGAUUCGUGCUCCAGAAAGAGGUGGGGUGGGGGGGGGGGGAAAGAAAAGAUUAAAAAAAAAAAGUCGGAUAGUGGAGAUUCAGCAAAUACGGGAAAAGGAAAAAAACAAAAACCAAAAAACCACCAAAUGCAGGCACGAUCGCUGUUUCAAGAAAAGUAAGGAAAGGUACCGCGCACCGGGCUGGCAACUGGUGCGCGCAGCCUCCCGCCCCCGCGCUGCGCUGGACAAGCCGGCUGUGGAGGUUCCAAGCUCCGGGGCCCACUUCCUUUCUUAUUUUGUGGGUUUCCUUGGCUCUGCUGGGACCAGGAGGAAGGGAAGAAAGAGAGGGGAAAAAGCCGUAAAAAUUAAAACAAAAAUGCAGGGGGGCAGCCUGAGGCGAGCUGGUGAAGCGGCGUGUCUGUGUCCCUUCGGCUGCGGUCUCCUCCUGCCCGCCGUCAUCCCCAGUCGGCAGCUGCGAGCGCCGAGAGCAGCGCGAGCGCUGUGAAGAUGCGAGGAGGUGGAACAAUGAAUUUAUAGCGGCAUGCCAUCCUGCAAUGGCAAUUUCAACAGUUCGUCACUGCACGCUGCCUCUUAAAGGGAGAGCUUCCCCCACCACUCCCACCCUUCCCAGUCCGCGCCUAAUCAGAUGGGGGAGGGCAAAAGAGGAGGGUGAUCGAGGAAAGGGAGACGAAGUAGGAGGAAGGGACUGGGACCCGGCGAGGUGGUAGGAGGGGAGAGGGGAAAAUAAAAAGUAAUGGGGCAAGAAAAACAGAUUUCCUUGGCCACUUUUAAAGCCACAGCGGCUCCGGGUCUGUCUGAUAUUUCACAACCAAUUGGGGUUGGCUAACCUUGGCUUACCUCAUCUCCUGAACGGGUGUUUUGGUUAAAGUUAUUGAGACGUUUCAAGUCUCUCCCUGCCUCCUUCUUGCCUGCUUUUCUCGCCCUCGGUGGGAAGUUCCUGCCGCAAGUUUUUCCCCUUUGCACACCCGUGCGCUCUGGCCUCGCAGACCGUGCAACUCCAUCCACCAGCCAGAGCUUUUCAGCUUCCCGUGCGUCCCCUAACCACCGCGUUCCCUUCGCUUCCUCCCCUCCGUCCCGGCACCCGGUUUCCUCCCUCCCCAUUCUCCAGCCUCUUGAUGCUUUGACGCUCGCCGGAUUCGGGCUCCGGGUGACUAACUUCUCCCGGCCACCAGCAGAGCGGCUGGACAGCCAGAGAGCCCAGGGCGCUUCCUGGCGCGCUGCGGUACCCCGGGGCGAGAACGCCCGCCGCUUGGGAACUCCGCAGCUUUGUGUGCGAACGGCGGGCUCCCAGCUUUCUCCAGCACGCCUUUCGUCAGGGUCCACAAUCUGUCCCUUACUCCCAGCCCACUGGAACUUCCUUUGCUCUAAAAAGGCAGAGCGAGAAAGAGUUAACUCUUAGAGGGAAUUCCGCUCAUUUUUUUUCCCUGAAAGAUUUUAAAAUUUUGCGCUCAUACUUUUAUUUUUUGCUUAAAUGAUACUUUAAUAAUAAAUUCCUAUAUCUGUUUUUGUCUCUUCUAAAGCAACCACUUAUCGCCAUAGGCCUUGACCUACCUUCAUUCUCAGAAAUUCCUUUUAGAAGAAAAAGAAUACUUUUGGCGGAAGGAAGAUUGGUGCUUAUUAGUACGCGGGUGACAUUAUCACUGCUACUCGUUUCCUCUGACCUCUUUGUUUCCUCUAAUUAUCAUUCUAAGAAGGGAGAAGGAAAACCCGACGACUUAUGGUUAGAAGGUCUACCUUCUACUGUAGGGAUCCCUACCCUAGGCCUGCUGAAUUGGAAACCCUUUUAGUAUCGGCACCCUUGGUGGUAGCAGGGUGUGUGGAUUCUAUGGGUAAGAUCUCCACUACUAAGCUCCACUACUGCGUGGGACCAUGAAUGAAUGCCUUAAAGACACUGGGUGAGCUUUUCCCUUUUGUGACACUCGCUUUGCAAAUUCUCGUUUUUAGAGGGCUUUGCUUCAAAACCAAAGGUCACACUUUGGGAGUGAUUCUAGCUUUGAUAUGAACUCUUCAUUUUUAGAGGGUGAAACUACACUUAAAUAGUCCUUCUUCCCUCCUUCCCCAGCUCUUUUUCCCCCCGUCCAUCCCCUCUGAUAUUUACAAUGGCAGAACAUGGACCCUGAUGCACUAAUGCAUGUGUACCCAAUCUCAUAUGCAUUAGUACACACAGCACAUGUCAGCAUGCAUGUGCCACACACGUACUCACUUGAACUCAUGUUUCCCUCUAGGCUGCACUGAUGGCUUGAUAGAAAUCCUAAUUAGAGCUCAGAUAAUAGAAGAGGGGAUUAAACCAACCAUCCUCUGCCUUUACGAAGAAAACUUUCUAGAGACCUGCAUUGUAGAGAUUCUUUUAUUUUGCCCCUCGGGAAACCUUACUGAAUGCCUGAUAAAACUCGAAACCAUCUUCUCUGCUAUCUGAUUAGGACAUAUUACAAAACAAUCUAUCUAUUGUGAUGGAUAACAUAUGCUUUAGAAUCUGUUUUACUUAAUAUUAUAGAAAAUAUAUUUCUAGAAAGCCAGAUUUUCAUUUUUUAUACACAGUAAUUUUAUACUAUAUAGAAGUCUUCAAAUGAAUAAUGUACAUAUGUAUUAUUUAAGACAUACAGGUGUUAUCUGUAAAGUAAAACCGACAAGUCAUUUUUUAUGCUGACCAGCUGUGAAAUGUUGUUUUAGCUUUUCUCACACAAUUAUGCACAUAUUACUUGCUUUUAUGAGUUACUUGAGUUCUAUUUUUCCUUAUUUUCCAAAAAUCAUCAAAAAUCAAACCUUACUAGAAACACAUGGAAAAUCAGGAAUUUCCAGCAGAAAGUAAUUUGAAACAUUUGAGGUUUUCUUUCCCUUCCUUCAUAAUGGCAAAUUUCAAGCAAAGUUUUCAAAUUACUUAAUGAGUAGUAGCUGUAAUUGUAGUAGGAGUUGUUUCUCGGUUCUAUAAUUAUGUAUAUAUAUUUUUACAGUUAAGAUUGUAUCUUAACAUCACCUUUCUCAAGCUCUAAAAUAUUAUAGUCUUCCUCAAAACUAUUUGGUCUCUCCAUGUUAAAUACAUUCUUCUGGUAAAUAAGGUAAGAACUGGAAGUAAGUUCACAUAAAGCUGAUAAAUAUCAGUUGGUUACAGUCUCACCCCUGGCAAGUAGGGAAAUGGAAACUGUAGCUUCUUGAUCAAUGUAAUUAUCUCCUACCCAUGAUGUUGGGGUCAUUGCAAGUUGCUUAUGUGGUCAGUGGAAGAAAACAUACAGUUUCUUUUUUCAGACUCUCCAUACACUAUUACAUACCUCUCUCAUACACACCUUUCCUAGUCAGGGACUAACAGGUGGAAGAGCAGUUAUCUGUGUUACACUCCUAGACCUGGGUUCAAGUAAAUACAUUACAGGUUUUUCUCACUUUAUUUGACUUAGGAGGUGUUGCUCUUCCUACGUCUCUGCUUCUUACUCUUUUAAAUCAAGCUGGAAAGAGGAAGUGACAAUGCACUGUCACUUACUGGCUGAAUGAUGAUUUGAUUCUAAGUCCCAGGAAGGAACCCUCUUCCAGGAACUCACCAUCAACUCUCCCCCUUUUCUCCUUCCAGCUGGCCCAACCUGGACCUGUCGGAAACUUCUCCUUCACCACUAUGCCCCAGGGUCCCAAAUGCCCCAGGAUCCCAAAAAGAUUGCCACCUCUGACCUUUGAAAAUAUGAGCAUGUGAGCUUGAGGCAGCAGGAGAAGAGGAAGUGGGCUUUGACUGAUUUACAAUUCAGGGAACUAACUCUUGCCCAUAGCUUCUAGUGUGGUUCUUUCCAAGAGCCAGACUACCACUUUUGCUCCUCUCUUUUUCUCAUUUCAGGACCCUCUUCCAAUCCAUCUAUACCCUGUCCGGUUUAUGUUAGUGACAAAACAAGACUCCCCCAUCCUUCAAGGAGGUGGAGCAUCAGAAUCUUUUCAGAAUAGGGGUGGAGAGGAAAGGAUUCAGUUGUGGUGCCCUCAUUUGUGAGACUCGAGCCCUUGUUCAAAAUCAUCUUCUCAGAUAAAUCCCCACCAGAUCUGCCCAGAAAGUUUAUCAGACCCUCCAUGGCCCAUGUCAUUUUGGUUCCAAAUGUUUCAGGUGACUUUUGAAUUGCAACUGAAAAAGUUAUUCUGAUUUUUGACAUUAUAGAGUUCAUUAUCGACAGCUGGCUAUAAAUUACUAAAUUUAUAAUUAACUAUAUAAUCCCUGGCUUGUUUUUUUGCACCUCAAACUCACACUUAUUUCUGAUAAGCCUUAAUCAAAUAGGCAAUUAUUUCAUUCAUCUAUUAGCUUAGUAGGUGUCUUCCUUUCUUUAGGAAAUUCAGAUGAGGAAAAUGGUGCAGAUUGAAUCUAAGAAAGGUAGAGGUAUUAACAUAGGGAAACUAGCCAGUAUGACACAGAGAAAGCCUCUUACAUAUGUUGUAUAGCUAAAUUCCAGAGACGUUCCGGAGAAUCCAUAAAUAACUUUAACAAAUUGCUGGUUUUCAGAGCAUUAAAGAGCAAAGUAACCUGAUUAGAGUCUCUGCUAGCUUCCAGCCAACCAGUUUACCUUCCAGAAAAUGCAAAACAGUGUCUUGAGAUUAUGAGAUUUUUUUCCCCUCUUUUCUAUCAUAAGUUUCAUUUUUGCUUUUGAUUGUUGGCAGUAGUCUGAUGGUUGGGUCCCUCCUACAUGAGUAAACUUUUUGCAUGCUAAGGAUAAUAAUGUCUCAGAAUUAUUUUUGGCUAACGUCUCUUUCUUCUUUCCACAUUCUUUUCUUUUCUUUCUCUUUUUCUUUCUGUCUUCACCAUAGAAUGUAUGUUCUAUGAAACCAGGGACCAUGCUUGUCUUCCUCACCACGGUAUCUCCAGUUUCUAAUUCAGUAACUAGCAAAUUGGAGGCAUACAUGGACACAUGUAAAAUAUGCAAAACACAUAUGUUAACUAUUUUUAAAAUUAUGUAUGUGGGUGGUUACUGAUAUUUUCCUGUUGCUCUUCUUUACCAUCCUUGUCUCUGGUAAUAAAAACACACCUUUCCAAGGAAAGUCAAUCCACAUGUUUGAAUAAAGCUGAUGGCUUUCCUUCAGAUCUGGAUACUGGAUACCGAGCCUGACAAGUCAGAGUGCCCCAUACAUCUGGCCAGAGCUGAUGGUUCUGGGAAGAACUCUGCCCACUGGACAUUUGCUCAAACCAUUAGCUGAAAGCACUUUUCCUCUGGGAUCAGACAAUCUAAGGAUCAUGUAUUAAGAAGGAAAGUUGAACUGCUGUAACAAAUACCUUUAAAUUCUCAGUGGUUUCACAUAAAGUGUAUUCUUUGCUCCUGUCACUGUCCCCUGUGGGUUGAUGGCCAGCACAGUAGUGAUCCAUGCAGUAGGAGCUCAAGCUUGCUCUAUCCUGUAGUCUUUCCCCUCAACUGCCUCCAAGGCUGAUGCAGAAAGAGAAGAAAGAGAGAGAGAUAGUAGAGAAGGCACAGUCUCCCUUGCUUGCCUCUUCCUAGAAGUAGCAUACUUCUGGUCCAUUGGCAGAAAUAUAGUCCAUAUGGCAGUAAUAGCCCUAUGGCCCCACCCAGAUGUAAAGAUGGUAGUGGGAAGCUGAAAACUACAAACCAGUAGUGAGCCAAGAAGAAGAAAGAGGGGGAAACAUCUAGCCAGUCUCUGCUGAUUGCCAUUUUAUCUCACAGAUCCCACCAAAUGGGAAAAGUCUAAGAAUGAAGUUGAACAGAGAUGAGAAAGGGAGAAGGCAGGAGGAAGUAAAAAAGAGAGGAGAGAAAAAGGGGAGAUAAAUCAUCACAAUCCUCGAAUCCAAUAAUGUUAAUAAAAUUCUUACUUUUGUUUAAGUAAGUGUAAUCAGGGAUUUUGUCACCUAAAACAGAAAUAACCUGGUUAACAUACUACUUUGUCCUGGCCAUGUUAUGUCUAGCCCCUAGCUCAGUCCUUUGCAUAUAUAUUAGAUAAUCUAAGUAUUUUUGGUAUCAACGAGCAUAAGAAUGAAUACUUAAUAUUAAGACAUUGAGUUAAAACUGUGUAUAGUUAUUGGUGCGAUCGAUGUUAACUAACAAGCUUAUCUCUUACAUUAUUCCUAAAAGUUGUAGUCUCAGGUAACUAAUAAGUGUGCAACAUUUAUUCUAUUAUUGUAGUUCCUGUUUUUCUGUUCUGUCACUUACCUAUGAAUGUCACUUACCUGCUGGUCUAUGUAAAAAUUGUCAGUGCCUUUUAUCUGGGUGGGUAUACUAAAUAUAAAAUGUUUACAUUCGUAAUUAAUCAAAACCAAGACUUCCAUUGUAAUUCUAUUAUUCUAAGCUUGCCUAGUCUUACUAAAUACCGUAAUUAUCUGUAAAAUCCUGGAAUGUAAGGACAUUAACCUUCCUCCAGUGUUUAUUCUGAAGAAAUGUUUGGCUAGCCUUCCUCAUCUCACUGCGUGACCUUGCAGUAUAGAAAAAUACCAAUCAUCGUGGCUCUUAAACAGUUAGAACUAACUGCCUAGCUGAACAUCAUAACAAAAUUCUUCUACCAAACGACAAGGCAUGGAAGGAGAACACUCCCCGUGUGCUAACUUUCUUUAUGGUCGAGCACACCCUGCCAAAACAAGCAGCCAAAAGGCCUGACUUUAUGUCCUAGCCUAGGCACUGUAUGGGAUCCUGGGGAAGUUAUUUAGAUACUUUGUGUACUUUUUUCCUCAUCUGCAAAAGAGUGACAAUUAUAACACAUGCCUCAUUGGGUUUUUAUGAAGGUUAGCAAGGUUAAGAAUUUGAAUUGGUGUGCAAUACCUAGUACAUGGCAAAUAAAUAAUAAAUGUAUUAUUGUUAUUUUAAAUUACCCACUAUAGCAGUUAAGGGUUUUGUUUUAACUCUUUCAUUUUCACUUAAAUUUUGCCUCAGAGAUUACCUCUGACUUUGUUCUGAUAGAAGCUUUUGGAAGAGAAUCACUAAGGCUGCGAGCAAUAAAGAAGUUUAAGACAUUUCAGUUACUAAGGCUGGAGAAAAGUCUGAUGCAAAUAAGUAGAAAAUCCAAAAAGGUGUAUAAAGAUGCACAACUUCUAUGUGGACUACAUAUAGAGAAGACUUUUAAGAAACAGUGCAUCCUUUCCAUUCAUGUCCUUUUGUGUUUAUAGUCCCUGAUAGUGUUAAAGCCAUUUGUGUGCUUAUUUUUCUGUUGCUCCUGUCACAUGCCAGGCUGCCAUCACACAGAGCAUGAGGACUCCAUCUACACACAUGGCACCUCCGGUGCCUAGCACAACAUCGGACUUUACAAUUUUUUGACAAACAUUGGCUUAAUUGAUUUCAAUUAAAUCAAUCUCAUAUAGUCCCAUAGAGUUUAGGUGAG